rnacentral:rRNA from 1 species
GAUGAACGCUGGCGGCGUGCCUAAUACAUGCAAGUCGAGCGAACAGACGAGGAGCUUGCUCCUCUGACGUAGCGGCGGACGGGUGAGUAACACGUGGAUAACCUACCUAUAAGACUGGGAUAACUUCGGGAAACCGGAGCUAAUACCGGAUAAUAUAUUGAACCGCAUGGUUCAAUAGUGAAAGACGGUUUUGCUGUCACUUAUAGAUGGAUCCGCGCCGCAUUAGCUAGUUGGUAAGGUAACGGCUUACCAAGGCGACGAUGCGUAGCCGACCUGAGAGGGUGAUCGGCCACACUGGAACUGAGACACGGUCCAGACUCCUACGGGAGGCAGCAGUAGGGAAUCUUCCGCAAUGGGCGAAAGCCUGACGGAGCAACGCCGCGUGAGUGAUGAAGGUCUUCGGAUCGUAAAACUCUGUUAUUAGGGAAGAACAAAUGUGUAAGUAACUAUGCACGUCUUGACGGUACCUAAUCAGAAAGCCACGGCUAACUACGUG